rnacentral:snoRNA from 1 species
GAUCAAUGAUGAAAAUAGCCAAAUCUGAGCAUCAGAGACCUUCCAGUCUCCCUGAUACAUGAUCUCUAUAGUUCUGUGA